UACGACGCCGUUUCGUCACUGUAAUAUAUCAGUUUGUCUUUCCUCGACGCGCAGCACAAAUAGUUUUCGCUAGUUUCAGAAGGCUCAAGCUUCGUCAUUGACUGAGUAAUCGACUCCAAAAACUUUUUCAUUUUUUGUGCUUUAGAUAGAUGAAAAGCAUGUGGGAGAAGUGAGGAGCGGAGAAGGAUGAAGGGAGGUGAUGGGAGCGAUGAUGGAGAAAUAAAGGAGAUUAUGUGAAAACAAAAACUUGAAAAUGAUGGAUGACCAGGACCUGGGCUUCUUUGCCAAUUUUCUCGGCAUCUUCAUAUUUGUACUGGUAAUAGCGUAUCAUUAUGUGAUGGCCGACCCAAAAUAUGAAGGCAACUAAUGAUCUGUUUCUUUUUUAUGUAUUUGCAAUAGAGAUGCAAUUUUCUUGCGACUAAUGGAGAUAUCCUAUUAAUUUGUAGCGUGAACUAUUUCACAACGGAUGCAGCUUGAUUUACGUUAUACAAUAUGACUAUGUUCUGUUAUACACAUUAUUUUCUUCUCUA